AUUCAAAUAAAGAAACCAUAAUGGGAUUGGUGGGUACCAUUAAAGUUAGUUGACAGCUCAAAAAAAGUGAAAGCGUGGGUCAAUCUAACGCCUCAGAUCCCGCUUUCAUCAUCGCCUUCUUCCUCCCAACAAAAAGAGGAAGAAAGGCGUAGAGGAAGAGAGAAAUGACGAUACUGUACGCGUUGGUAGCGAGGGGAUCGGUGGUGUUGGCAGAGCACAGCGGGACAACAACGAAUGCGAGUACGAUUGCAAGGCAGAUUCUGGAGAAAAUACCAGGGAAUAAUGAUUCAAACGUGUCAUACUCCCAGGAUCGGUAUAUUUUCCAUGUUAAACGGACGGAUGGACUUACUGUCCUUUGUAUGGCGGAUGAUAGUGCUGGAAGAAGAAUCCCUUUCGCAUUUCUUGAAGAAAUUCACCAAAGAUUUGUAAGGACCUACGGCCGAGCAGUUCUGUCUGCACAAGCUUAUGGCAUGAAUGACGAAUUUUCAAGGGUUCUUAGCCAGCAAAUGGAAUAUUAUUCCAGUGAUCCAAAUGCAGACAGAAUAAACAGGCUAAAGGGUGAAAUGAGUCAGGUGCGCAACGUCAUGAUUGAGAAUAUCGAUAAAGUUCUAGAGAGAGGUGAUCGUCUGGAACUGCUGGUCGAUAAAACAGCUACUAUGCAAGGAAACACUUUCCGCUUCAGAAAGCAGGCUCGCCGUUUCAGAAGCACUGUAUGGUGGAGAAAUGUCAAACUCACGUAUGUUGCUCCCUUUACUUGGCGAAAAGCUCUUUGGUUGUUUUGUUUUUUAUUGGGGCGGCGGGCAUUGUUCUUUCAAGAGUUGGAUGAAUUCAUAAUUGUUCAAUGUCUUUUGUUGGGUAGAAUUUGAACUCUACUUCAAAUGGUUAGGCUUUUACAUGUGAAGAUCCCGUAUAGCUUUAAACGGAUAGGUCUUAUAUGUGAAUAUCUCUAUCGAUCUAUUCUAUCCUAUAUCGCCCGUAUAGGUCUUAUAUGUGAAUAUCUCUAUCGAUCUAUCCUACACAAAAUGGUUUACAAACGGAUGGCACAUCUUCCAGUAUCGAUCUAGAGAAUUUUAAAUGUGAAUAUCAAUAAUUUAUAUCUUUUUCAUGACUUUAGGAAGUCUAAAUUGUGAGGAUGAUAGAUGAUAGAUUGAUCUGGAUGAAGCUUUCCCAUGGAUUUCUUUGAUAUGGUUAUUCCUUUUCCUUAUAAUAAGUUUCACGAUGUUUUAUCUUCCUGUUACUUCUAAGUUGACCACGGAAUCUGAAAAAAUUAUUCUUUCGCGUUGCAAUUAAACAAGAGCGGCUCAUCAUAAUUUUUCAUGUCUCCCAUCCUUUUGCUACAUGUUUGGAACUUGGAUUUAUCUUCUCCUUAUGCUGAACUGUUCUUUAAUAGUGAUAUUUGUGCAGUAAUUCUAACAACAGAACCCUAUGUAAAGAGAAGAUCUCUUAGUUUUAUACUGUACUUAAGCUCUCACGAUACUUUCUUAUUUUGUUCUUGAUGGUUGUUUAUUAGCUUGAUUACAUUUAAGGACCCGCCAAGUUCAAGUAUUUGGUUUUCAAUUUUGUUGUUUAAUUUUGUCACCACUCCAUGUAAAGUUGUUUGAUUUUUGCAGGGUGGCUCUGAUAUUCCUCCUCCUUGUGAUAGUUUAUGUUAUUUUUGCUUUCGUUUGUCAUGGGCUUACACUUCCAACUUGUUUGAAGUGAGGAUUACUGGAUCAGCAUCACGUCUUCCUCCCAAAAUUUUUCAUUGGAGUCCACUUAUUUUGCAAUUUCUUGAUCUUCGUUCAUCUUGGGGUAAAGCUUGGAUGUGUGUUUUGGCAUGGAUUUCAUCCUGAUAUGUAUUAUUCGCGUGAUGUUCUUAAGCUUAUAGGCAAGCUAAAACUCUUGGCUUGAGAAUGUAGAUUAUUUAUCAUUUUGGCCCCUGUGAGAAAAAUAAAGGGGUCAAAUAACUCACUAUAGAUUCUUGGCUUGAUAUCUGUGUUGAAAUAUAUCUUGACAAUAUUUUAAUUUGCAGUCUAUGCUGAAAUUUGUUUUUGUUGCUUA